rnacentral:lncRNA from 1 species
CGCCCCCUUUCUCCUUUUUCCAUUUUUUUUUAAUUUCUUUUUUUUUUCAAAUUCUCUUAUAAAUUCAUUUGGACCAAUUUCCAGUCAUUUUCACCUCUUGCUCCCAAAAACAAAGUUGUUCCAAAAUAAAAACUCUACAACUUUGCUUUAACAAGCUAGACCAAAUUCCAAACAAAAUUUGAAUUACAAGUUAAAACUUAGUUCUAGGUUUUAAAUAAAUUCUUUUUGGGUAUUUUUGUAUAAAUUCCAUUUUCUCAAUUUCCAUAGCUCCAAAAAUUGCACAAAAAUAUUCUAAAUUCUUUUCACACAUGAAUCAACCAAAUUUGAAUUUUUCACAAUUUUAGAAGCAAGCAUCAUAUUUUAAACAUAUUUAGAACACAUGAGAGGAUGCACAUAAAAUCAUGAUUUGGCAAGAGUGUCAUGCUCAUG